GAUGAACGCUGGCGGCGUGCCCAAUACAUGCAAGUCGAGCGAACGGACGAGAAGCUUGCUUCUCUGAUGUUAGCGGCGGACGGGUGAGUAACACGUGGAUAACCUACCUAUAAGACUGGGAUAACUUCGGGAAACCGUAGCUAAUACCGGAUAAUAUUUUGAACCGCAUGGUUCAAAAGUGAAAGACGGUCUUGCUGUCACUUAUAGAUGGAUCCGCGCUGCAUUAGCUAGUUGGUAAGGUAACGGCUUACCAAGGCAACGAUGCAUAGCCGACCUGAGAGGGUGAUCGGCUACACUGGAACUGAGACACGGUCCAGACUCCUACGGGAGGCAGCAGUAGGGAAUCUUCCGCAAUGGGCGAAAGCCUGACGGAGCAACGCCGCGUGAGUGAUGAAGGUCUUCGGAUCGUAAAACUCUGUUAUUAGGGAAGAACAUAUGUGUAAGUAACUGUGCACAUCUUGACGGUACCUAAUCAGAAAGCCACGGCUAACUACGUG
rnacentral:rRNA from 1 species